GACGAACGCUGGCGGCAUGCCUAAUACAUGCAAGUCGAGCGAACAGAUGAAGUGCUUGCACUUCUGACGUUAGCGGCGAACGGGUGAGUAACACGUAAGGAAUCUACCUAUAAGCGGGGGAUAACAUUCGGAAACGGGUGCUAAUACCGCAUAAUAUCUUCUUCCGCAUGGAAGAAGUUUGAAAGACGGCCCUGCUGUCACUUAUAGAUGACCUUGCGGUGCAUUAGUUAGUUGGUGGGGUAAUGGCCUACCAAGACGAUGAUGCAUAGCCGACCUGAGAGGGUGAUCGGCCACAUUGGGACUGAGACACGGCCCAAACUCCUACGGGAGGCAGCAGUAGGGAAUCUUCCGCAAUGGGCGAAAGCCUGACGGAGCAAUGCCGCGUGAGUGAAGAAGGCCUUCGGGUCGUAAAACUCUGUUAUAAGAGAAGAACAAAUUGUAGAGUAACUGCUACAGUCUUGACGGUAUCUUAUCAGAAAGCCACGGCUAACUACGUGCCAGCCGCCGCAGUAA
rnacentral:rRNA from 1 species